rnacentral:rRNA from 1 species
AACGAACGCUGGCGGCAGGCUUAACACAUGCAAGUCGAACGCCCCGCAAGGGGAGUGGCAGACGGGUGAGUAACGCGUGGGAACAUACCCUUUCCUGCGGAAUAGCUCCGGGAAACUGGAAUUAAUACCGCAUACGCCCUACGGGGGAAAGAUUUAUCGGGGAAGGAUUGGCCCGCGUUGGAUUAGCUAGUUGGUGGGGUAAAGGCCUACCAAGGCGACGAUCCAUAGCUGGUCUGAGAGGAUGAUCAGCCACAUUGGGACUGAGACACGGCCCAAACUCCUACGGGAGGCAGCGGUGGGGAAUAUUGGACAAGGGCCGAAGGCCUGACCCACCCAGGCCGGGUGAGUGAUGAGGGCCUUGGGGUUGAAAAGCUCUUUCACCGAUGAAGAUAAUGAGGGGAGUCGAAAAAGAACCCCGGCCUAACUUCGUG